CAGUCGCCGCGGGAAUACGUAGGUGGCAAGCGUUGUCCGGAAUUAUUGGGCGUAAAGCGCGCGCAGGCGGAUAGGUCAGUCUGUCUUAAAAGUUCGGGGCUUAACCCCGUGAUGGGAUGGAAACUGCCAAUCUAGAGUAUCGGAGAGGAAAGUGGAAUUCCUAGUGUAGCGGUGAAAUGCGCAGAUAUUAGGAAGAACACCAGUGGCGAAGGCGACUUUCUGGACGAAAACUGACGCUGAGGCGCGAAAGCCAGGGGAGCGAACGGGAUUAGAUACCCCCGUAGUCCCUGUCUCUUAUACA
rnacentral:rRNA from 1 species